rnacentral:lncRNA from 1 species
CAGGGGGGGAAGGGGAGGGGCCUCUGGUCCAGCCUGAGGACCCCCAACGAUGCUGUGUCUGUCCUGGAGGAGCCCAGAGAGAGUCACGUCCAGCAGCAGGGCAAGAGCAACUACUUCAUAGAGCAUGCAGACCUCGGCGCGCAUUAUUACCGCAAAUAUUUCUACAUGAAAGAACAUCAGAACUUCUUUGGAAUGGACGAUCGUCUCGGUCCCGUUGCCAUCAGUUUUCGGCGAGAGGAGAAAGAAGGAUCCAGUGGCGCUCAGUACAACUACAGAAUCAUCUUUCGCACGACAGAGAUGAAGACGCUGAGAGGUUCCAUCCUGGAGGAAUCUGUUCCGUCUGCAGCUCGUCACACGACUCCCAGAGGUCUUUCACCAAAGCGUCUGCUGGAGUUCAUCAUGCCUGAGCUGAACCUGCACUGCCUGCGUUUGGCCUCCAACUCUCCCAAAGUCAGAGACACUUUACUGAAACUGGACGAGCAGGGACUGAACUUCCAGAGAAAGGUGGGGGUGAUGUACUGCAGGGCGGGGCAGAGCUCUGAGGAGGACAUGUACAACAACGAGAGCUCAGGACCAGCGUUUGAGGAGUUUCUGGAUCUGCUCGGUGAACGAGUGCGACUGAAGGGAUGGGAGAAGUAUCGAGCACAGCUGGACAACAAGACGGACUCAACUGGAACACAUUCCCUCUACACGCGCUACCAGGACUACGAGAUAAUGUUUCAUGUGUCCACGAUGCUUCCCUACACGGCCAACAACACGCAGCAGCUGCUGAGGAAGCGACACAUCGGGAACGACAUCGUCACCAUCGUGUUCCAGGAGCCUGGAGCUCUUCCCUUCACACCAAAGUCCAUACGCUCACAUUUCCAACACGUCUUCAUCAUCGUCCAGGUUCAUGAGCCCUGCUCGGACAAUACAUAUUACAGGGUGGCUGUGACUCGCUCUAAAGACAUCCCAUUAUUCGGUCCUCUGUUCCCUAAGGGCGCUCGGUUCCCUCGCUCCGCCGCCUUCAGAGACUUCCUCCUCGCCAAGGCGGUAAACGCGGAAAACGCCGCUGAGAAGUCGGAGAAGUUCCGCUCCAUGGCAACUCGCACGCGCCAGGAAUACCUGAAGGACUUGGCGGAAAACUACGUGACCACCACGCCCAUUGACUCGUCCACCAAGUUCCCGCUGCUGUCGCUGGGCGGCAAGCGUAAAGACAAGCUGAAGGGCGCCAAGGGGGCGGAGCUUCACAGCGCGGGCGCCCUAGUGUGGGCGGUGAUGGUGCACGGCGAGCACACGCUGCCCUGUCUGCUGGGCGUGUCGGCAGAGUCGGUGGUGCUCAUCGAGAGGUACACGCGCAGGGUGGCGUUCAACUGCUCCUGUCGAGACGUGAUUGGCUGGAAGGCGGUGACGGAGCCCAAAGAGGGCGUGGCCUGCCUGGACAUCUAUUACGAGCGCGGAGCAUCUGUGUCCAUCACUGUGAUGGAGACGCAGGUGGAGGAUAUCAAAGAGGUGGUGCAGAGGCUCGAGCUGGUGACUCGAGGCUGCGAGGCGUUCGAGGUCACCCCUCUGCGUGACGGCGUGGGACAGCCAGGCUUCCUCAUGAACGACGAAGGCUUCGUGACGGAGCUGCAGCGGUUCUGCUACGCUGAGAGCGGCGGUCUGCAGCUGUGGGCGCGCGUGGUGCGACUCUGCGGGCAUUCGCUGGUUCACCUCAGCCUGGAGGAGAGAUCCAGGCUGCUGAGGACGGCCCACAAAGUCCACAUCACCGUCAUCCCACCGGACGAGAACGGAAAGCCUCGCAGAAGUUUCUCUGAGCUCUACCAGAAAGCCAUCAAAGACGCUGAGUGUAAACCUGACGAGGACCAGUCCACAGAGGCCUGGGUGCUGGACGACAGAGAAGAAGAGGAGGAGGAGGAAGAGGAGGAGGAGGAGCCAGCGAAGGAGGACGGGCUCGGCGUGAACGAGGUGGACGCGGUGAGGGAGGAGACGGAGCCCGUGCUGCUGUCUCCGCCCUGUUUACCUCUGCUGAGAGCCACGUCGCUGCAGGACCAACCGGCCAAUCAGAGCCAAGAGGACCGAUCGGCACAGCUCACACGCAGCUUCUCAUUGGAGAGACAGCCCACCUUCACAGACUCCUGUGACGGACACUUGUUUGACAACGUGGGCACUAAGGUGGAGUGUCACAUCUAUGACAACGUGGGCGAGCUGAGAGACGCCACUCCUGAUCUGAUCCUCGCCGUCAAACCUAAGCUGGGCCUGGAGGACGAGCAGUUCCUGGGGGCGGAGUUUGACGAUGACAAGGCGUCAGCUAGUGACUCGUCUCUGUCCACGUCACGGCUGUCAUGUAAAGAUCGAGCGGAGAGAAACUCACGAGCUCUGAGUCUUCAUAACUCCAUCACUAAGAUUCUUUCUGAGACGACGGACUCUACGGAGGAGGAGUGGCAGUCCAUCGCCGACCUGGCCACGGCCUGCCGUAGCAUCCUGGAGGCUUUGUCUCGAGAAGAUAGAAAAGCUGGUGACCCCACCCAAGGUGAUCAGACCGACGGAAAGCUGAGGGACUCCAAAGAAAGUGAGUCUCCAGGUCAUCUGGAGGAGAAGGUGUCCCAGCUGGAGUUCAUGCUAAAGAAGCUGCAGGACGACCUGCAAAAGGAGCAGGGAAGACAAGGCGGUGCUGCAGGCCGAGGUGCAGAGCCUCAGGCAGAACAACCAGCGGCUGCAGGAAGAGUCUCAGAGCACGGUGGCACACCUCAUCAAAGUCACCGAGCUGCUGUGUAACGUCAACAAGCCCUGUUAGCUUCACCACACACACACACACACACACACACACACACACACACACACACACACACACACACCACACACACACACACACACACACACACACACACACACACACACUCCUGCACUUGAGGUACAAUUUAGAAAAGUGAACUCACACCUGUGCACCUUAAAGUCUGCGCCGCCUGUGAGCGAAUAUGCAAAAUCCUUUCAUGAAAGUUCCCCAAAAAAAGUGUGUGCGCGCGUGUGUUCGAACAAGGGUUGGGGUCAAUUACUUUAUAAAAUUACAAUCACACUUUAUAUUAUCCAUGUUCAAUUACAACUCAAUUGCAAAUAUUUUUUAUCCCCCGAAAGUCAAUUUCGUUCUCGAUUACUAAAGUUUAUUUGCAAUUAAUCACAAAUACUGAGUCUAAAUAACCCCAUAAAAAUGAUUUUUCCUCGUGUUAUCAUCUUUUGUGAUGACUCAGUGUUUUUCAACCUUGGGGUUGCCAGAUACCUUCAAGGAACUAAAAUUUUCUCUUUUUUUUUUUUAAACAAUUUGAGGCCAUUUUUGCAAAGUUUUUGCCAUUUUUACCAGUUUUAAUCACUUUUUCUUGCCAAAUCUUUUCUCCUUUUAAUACAUUUUUGCACCUUACUUACAUUUCUGACACUUCAUCACAUUUCAAUGCAUUUUCUGCAUUUUUUUUCUACUUUCAAAACAUGUUCAGCCAUUAUAAACCCUUUCAACCAUUUUUACACCUAAUGUCACAUAUGUUGACCCAUUAUUGUCACUUUUAACCUAUUUUUUUUUAACCAUAUUUAAUGCUUAUUUUUGCCAAUUUAAGCACAUUCACUAUUUUUUGUGCCCAUUAUUUGCCAGUUUAAACUAAUUGUUCCAAUAUUGACACUUUGAACCAUUUUUUUUUGGAGCAAUUUGAGCCCAUUUUUGCUUAUUUUUAAUCCCUUUUUACUACUUUUCCCACCUAAUGUCAUAUAUGUUGACCCAUUAUUGUCACUUUUAACCUUUAUCCAUCAUUUUUUAUGCUUACUUUUGUCAGUUUAACCAUAUUCACAAUUGGCCAGUUUAACUUAAUUGCUCCUCUUUCCUAAUUUCUGCUACUUUUAAAUUAGUUUUAAGCCAAUAUUGAUACUUUCCACCCUAUUUGUCCACUCUAAUUUGCAACUUUUUAUCAAUUUCUGUGGUUUUUUAAAAUCCCAUUUCACCACCUUUUCCACCAUUUUUGGUCACUUUGAACCCAUUUUAUUAGUGAUUAAAACCAGGAUUUCCAUCUUUAAGAUGACUAUAUAAUAAUAAUAAACGUUCCUGGAUAACAGUAGAUCUUAUUCA